rfam:Myotis brandtii contig232086, whole genome shotgun sequence.
GGCGGUCCUCAGGUGACACACUCGGGAAUCGGUCUCCCUCCUCUCUAGUUCCAGGUGCAUCACCUGAGAACCGCA